rnacentral:rRNA from 1 species
AUGAACGCUAGCUACAGGCUUAACACAUGCAAGUCGAGGGGCAGCAUGGUCUUAGCUUGCUAAGGCCGAUGGCGACCGGCGCACGGGUGAGUAACACGUAUCCAACCUGCCGUCUACUCUUGGACAGCCUUCUGAAAGGAAGAUUAAUACAAGAUGGCAUCAUGAGUCCGCAUGUUCACAUGAUUAAAGGUAUUCCGGUAGACGAUGGGGAUGCGUUCCAUUAGAUAGUAGGCGGGGUAACGGCCCACCUAGUCUUCGAUGGAUAGGGGUUCUGAGAGGAAGGUCCCCCACAUUGGAACUGAGACACGGUCCAAACUCCUACGGGAGGCAGCAGUGAGGAAUAUUGGUCAAUGGGCGAGAGCCUGAACCAGCCAAGUAGCGUGAAGGAUGACUGCCCUAUGGGUUGUAAACUUCUUUUAUAAAGGAAUAAAGUCGGGUAUGGAUACCCGUUUGCAUGUACUUUAUGAAUAAGGAUCGGCUAACUCCGUGCCGGCAGCCGCGGUAAUACGGAGGAUCCGAGCGUUAUCCGGAUUUAUUGGGUUUAAAGGGAGCGUAGAUGGAUGUUUAAGUCAGUUGUGAAAGUUUGCGGCUCAACCGUAAAAUUGCAGUUGAUACUGGAUAUCUUGAGUGCAGUUGAGGCAGGCGGAAUUCGUGGUGUAGCGGUGAAAUGCUUAGAUAUCACGAAGAACUCCGAUUGCGAAGGCAGCCUGCUAAGCUGCAACUGACAUUGAGGCUCGAAAGUGUGGGUAUCAAACAGGAUUAGAUACCCUGGUAGUCCACACGGUAAACGAUGAAUACUCGCUGUUUGCGAUAUACUGCAAGCGGCCAAGCGAAAGCGUUAAGUAUUCCACCUGGGGAGUACGCCGGCAACGGUGAAACUCAAAGGAAUUGACGGGGGCCCGCACAAGCGGAGGAACAUGUGGUUUAAUUCGAUGAUACGCGAGGAACCUUACCCGGGCUUAAAUUGCAGAUGAAUUACGGUGAAAGCCGUAAGCCGCAAGGCAUCUGUGAAGGUGCUGCAUGGUUGUCGUCAGCUCGUGCCGUGAGGUGUCGGCUUAAGUGCCAUAACGAGCGCAACCCUUGUUGUCAGUUACUAACAGGUUCCGCUGAGGACUCUGACAAGACUGCCAUCGUAAGAUGUGAGGAAGGUGGGGAUGACGUCAAAUCAGCACGGCCCUUACGUCCGGGGCUACACACGUGUUACAAUGGGGGGUACAGAGGGCCGCUACCACGCGAGUGGAUGCCAAUCCCCAAAACCUCUCUCAGUUCGGACUGGAGUCUGCAACCCGACUCCACGAAGCUGGAUUCGCUAGUAAUCGCGCAUCAGCCACGGCGCGGUGAAUACGUUCCCGGGCCUUGUACACACCGCCCGUCAAGCCAUGGGAGCCGGGGGUACCUGAAGUGCGUAACCGCGAGGAGCGCCCUAGGGUAAAACUGGUGACUGGGGCU